GAAGAACGUAGCGAAAUGCGAUAAGUAGUGUGAAUUGCAGAAUUCAGUGAAUCAUCGAAUCUUUGAACGCACAUUGCGCCCCUUGGUAUCCCGAGGGGCAUGCCUGUUCGAGCGUCAUUUCACCACUCAAGCCUGGCUUGGUGUUGGGCGACGUCCUCUUUGGGGACGCGCCUCGAAACGCUCGGCGGCGUGGCACCGGCUUUAAGCGUAGCAGAAUCUUUCGCUUUGGAAGUCGGGGCCCCGUCUGCCGGAAGACCUGCUCGCAAGGUUGACCUCGGAUCAGGCAGGGAUACCCGCUGAACUUAAGCAUAUCAAUAAGCGGAGGA
rnacentral:misc_RNA from 1 species